AGCAGUAGCCACGGUAAUACGAAGGGGGCUAGCGUUGUUCGGAUUUACUGGGCGUAAAGGGUGCGUAGGCGGAUUGUUAAGUCAGGGGUGAAAUCCCGAGGCUCAACCUCGGAACUGCCUUUGAUACUGGCGAUCUUGAGUCCGGGAGAGGUGAGUGGAACUGCGAGUGUAGAGGUGAAAUUCGUAGAUAUUCGCAAGAACACCGGUGGCGAAGGCGGCUCACUGGCCCGGAACUGACGCUGAGGCACGAAAGCGUGGGGAGCAAACAGGAUUAGAUACCCCAGUAGUCCCUGUCUCUUAUAC
rnacentral:rRNA from 1 species